UUCAUCUUAAGCGCAGAAAAAAAAACAGGGACACAGUAGACACAGUAGACAAGGACAAGCCCUUGUCCUUGUCUACUGUGUCUCUGUAUUUUUCUGCGCUUAAGAUGAA
rnacentral:pre_miRNA from 1 species